ACAUGCCUACAACCUAGUGUUAAUGCAUUGGAUCGCAUUAGAACUCCAUAGUUAAGCGCACUCAGGCUAGAGUAGCAUUGGGAUGGGUGACCCC
rnacentral:rRNA from 1 species